UAGGGAACGUUGUGGAGUGAAAGAAGGUGUAGUGUCGAGGAUUGAGAAAGGUUAUGUUGAGAUGGUUUGGACAUAUAGAGGACGAACGAAAGGAGAUAGACAAAACAAGUAUACAAGAUGAGUGUGGAUGGGAG